rnacentral:tRNA from 1 species
GGGGCUGUAGCUCAGUGGUAGAGCACUUGCCUAGCAUGUGUGAGGUAUGGGGUACGAUCCUCAGCACCA